AUGCAAGUCGGACGGUAGCACAGAGGASCUKGYUYCUUGGGUGACGAGUGGCGGACGGGUGAGUAAUGUCUGGGGAUCUGCCCGAUAGAGGGGGAUAACCMCUGGAAACGGUGGCUAAUACCGCAUAACGUCGCAAGACCAAAGAGGGGGACCUUCGGGCCUCUCACUAUCGGAUGAACCCAGAUGGGAUUAGCUAGUAGGCGGGGUAAUGGCCCACCUAGGCGACGAUCCCUAGCUGGUCUGAGAGGAUGACCAGCCACACUGGAACUGAGACACGGUCCAGACUCCUACGGGAGGCAGCAGUGGGGAAUAUUGCACAAUGGGCGCAAGCCUGAUGCAGCCAUGCCGCGUGUAUGAAGAAGGCCUUCGGGUUGUAAAGUACUUUCAGCGGGGAGGAAGGCGAYGGGGUUAAUAACCSYGUCGAU
rnacentral:rRNA from 1 species